rnacentral:rRNA from 1 species
UGGGGAAUAUUGCACAAUGGGCGCAAGCCUGAUGCAGCCAUGCCGCGUGUAUGAAGAAGGCCUUCGGGUUGUAAAGUACUUUCAGCGAGGAGGAAGGCGUUGUGGUUAAUAACCGCAGCGAUUGACGUUACUCGCAUAAGAAGCACCGGCUAACUCCGUGCCAGCAGCCGCGGUAAUACGGAGGGUGCAAGCGUUAAUCGGAAUUACUGGGCGUAAAGCGCACGCAGGCGGUCUGUCAAGUCGGAUGUGAAAUCCCCGGGCUCAACCUGGGAACUGCAUCCGAAACUGGCAGGCUAGAGUCUUGUAGAGGGGGGUAGAAUUCCAGGUGUAGCGGUGAAAUGCGUAGAGAUCUGGAGGAAUACCGGUGGCGAAGGCGGCCCCCUGGACAAAGACUGACGCUCAGGUGCGAAAGCGUGGGGAGCAAACA